rnacentral:rRNA from 1 species
CUUUACUGUAGCUUGGAAUUGAAUUUGGGUUUAUUUUGCGCAGUAUAGGUGGGAGGCUAAGAUCUUAUAUUUGUGGAUAUAAAUGAGCCAUCAGUGAGAUACCACUCUAAUUAAACUAGAAUUCUAAUCUUGAUGUCGUUAUCCGGCCAAGAAACAGUUUCAGGUGGGCAGUUUGACUGGGGCGGUCGCCUCCUAAAAGGUAACGGAGGCGUGCAAAGGUUUCUUCAGGCUGGUUGGAAAUCAGUCGUAGAGUGUAAAGGCAUAAAGAAGCUUGACUGCGAGACCUACAAGUCGAGCAGAGACGAAAGUCGGCCUUAGUGAUCCGACAGUGCUGAGUGGAAAGGCUGUCGCUCAACGGAUAAAAGUUA